GUUGCUUCUCAGCCUUUUGGCUAAGAUCAAGUAUAGUAUCUGUUCUUAGAAGUUUUAAGUAGUGACUGAACAUUGAUAUGUUUUCAAUAUCAAUCCUAAAUACUUUUUGGAAUGCUUUAAAAAUACUUCACCUGGGCAGAAGCAAUAAAUA
ensembl:snRNA U2 U2 spliceosomal RNA